CAUUAGCGCCAUCUAUGGGGUAAAAUCUCAUAAAAAUGACGGUCCACUGCUCGUUCUAGAAGAGUUGGGGAAACUAGAAGGGUGGGGGAAAUGUUGGGGCUAUAUAGCAAAGAGUUUUGAUAGAAUCCCUAUCAGGAAAUUUGUUUUGUGAUAACGUGUGACUCGGUGUGACUAGUGAAACCUCUGUUCGAAAGUUUUUGUUAAAUGUGUUAUAUUCCAAUGGAAAGUUAUAUGAAACUAACUACUACCAAGUGUUUACAUCCUUGUUUAUGUUUUGGAAGUGAAACAUAUCAAUUGGAUCAGAUUUUGUGUAACAGUCUUGUGAUCUAUGCAGGCUAUGCAAACUGCCAAAUUCAAACACUCAUAGAUUGCCCUGUUAACAACCCGUGACCUUAGCAUUCCAUCGUGCUAUUUUGUUGCUCAUUGAGAGAUCUUGCCUGUGAAACUUAAAGUGCAAAGGAUGCUGACCCUGGAGGAAGGUCAACAAUUUGAAUUCUUUGGAUUGGAAUAUUACUGUUCAUUCUACUACUCUUUGCCCUGUCAUCAUCUUGUGUCACUGCCAGUUUGAUAAGUGCAGCAUAUGUUAUGUUGUGUUGCCAGCAAGUAACCCCCAUUGGCCUUUGACUUCCUUGGACUUCCCUUUCGUUGCCUGUAAAUUUGCUGGCUCGGAACAUCGAAGUCAGGACCCUGAUCACCUGCCUUUCUGAAUACCAAUAUCUAAUAUACCCGAAUACCAA